GGCCGCCUGGCGAAAUGGCAUCGCGUCUGACUACGAUUUGUAAUGAUGUUAUCAGGAGAUUGCAGGUUCGACCCCUGCGGUGGUCA